rnacentral:rRNA from 1 species
GAUGAACGCUGGCGGCGUGCCUAAUACAUGCCAGUCGAGCGAACAGACGAGGAGCUUGCUCCUCUGAUGUUAGCGGCGGACGGGUGAGUAACACGUGGAUAACCUACCUAUAAGACUGGGAUAACUUCGGGAAACCGGAGCUAAUACCGGAUAAUAUAUUGAACCGCAUGGUUCAAUAGUGAAAGACGGUUUUGCUGUCACUUAUAGAUGGAUCCGCGCCGCAUUAGCUAGUUGGUAAGGUAACGGCUUACCAAGGCAACGAUGCGUAGCCGACCUGAGAGGGUGAUCGGCCACACUGGAACUGAGACACGGUCCAGACUCCUACGGGAGGCAGCAGUAGGGAAUCUUCCGCAAUGGGCGAAAGCCUGACGGAGCAACGCCGCGUGAGUGAUGAAGGUCUUCGGAUCGUAAAACUCUGUUAUUAGGGAAGAACAAAUGUGUAAGUAACUAUGCACGUCUUGACGGUACCUAAUCAGAAAGCCACGGCUAACUACGUG